GAUGAACGCUGGCGGCGUGCCUAAUACAUGCAAGUCGAGCGAACAGACGAGGAGCUUGCUCCUCUGACGUUAGCGGCGGACGGGUGAGUAACACGUGGAUAACCUACCUAUAAGACUGGGAUAACUUCGGGAAACCGGAGCUAAUACCGGAUAAUAUAUUGAACCGCAUGGUUCAAUAGUGAAAGACGGUUUUGCUGUCACUUAUAGAUGGAUCCGCGCCGCAUUAGCUAGUUGGUAAGGUAACGGCUUACCAAGGCAACGAUGCGUAGCCGACCUGAGAGGGUGCUCGGCCACACUGGAACUGAGCCACGGUCCAGACUCCUACGGGAGGCAGCAGUAGGGAAUCUUCCGCAAUGGGCGAAAGCCUGACGGAGCAACGCCGCGUGAGUGAUGAAGGUCUUCGGAUCGUAAAACUCUGUUAUUAGGGAAGACCAAAUGUGUAAGUAACUAUGCACGUCUUGACGGUACCUAAUCAGAAAGCCACGGCUAACUACGUG
rnacentral:rRNA from 1 species